GCAUCGGUGGUUCAGUGUUAGAAUUCUUGCCUUCCGCAUGGGAGACCUGGGUUCAAUCCCAGCCGACGCA
rnacentral:tRNA from 1 species